GACGAACGCUGGCGGCGCGCCUAAUACAUGCAAGUCGAACGGGUACCUCUUCGGAGGUGCUAGUGGCGGACGGGUGAGUAACACGUGGGCGACCUGCCUUUGAGUGGGGAAUAACGCUGGGAAACCAGCGCUAAUACCGCAUACGCUCGCUGCUUCAUUGCAGUGAGGAAAGCUUAAUGCGCUCAAAGAGGGGCCUGCGGCGGAUUAGCUAGUCGGUGGGGUAACGGCCGUACCGAGGCACCGAUCCGUAGCUGGUCUGAGAGGAUGAUCAGCCACACUGGGACUGAGACACGGCCCAGACUCCUACGGGA
rnacentral:rRNA from 1 species